GACGAACGCUGGCGGCGUGCCUAAUACAUGCAAGUAGAACGCUGAAGGAGGAGCUUGCUUCUCUGGAUGAGUUGCGAACGGGUGAGUAACGCGUAGGUAACCUGCCUGGUAGCGGGGGAUAACUAUUGGAAACGAUAGCUAAUACCGCAUAAGAGUAGAUGUUGCAUGACAUUUGCUUAAAAGGUGCAAUUGCAUCACUACCAGAUGGACCUGCGUUGUAUUAGCUAGUUGGUGAGGUAACGGCUCACCAAGGCAACGAUACAUAGCCGACCUGAGAGGGUGAUCGGCCAAACUGGGACUGAGACACGGCCCAGACUCCUACGGGGGGCAGCAGUAGGGAAUCUUCGGCAAUGGACGGAAGUCUGACCGAGCAACGCCGCGUGAGUGAAGAAGGUUUUCGGAUCGUAAAGCUCUGUUGUAAGAGAAGAACGAGUGUGAGAGUGGAAAGUUCACACUGUGACGGUAUCUGACCAGAAAGGGACGGCUAACUACGUG
rnacentral:rRNA from 1 species